UCCAGACUCCUACGGGAGGCAGCAGUGAGGAAUAUUGGUCAAUGGACGAGAGUCUGAACCAGCCAAGUAGCGUGAAGGAUGACUGCCCUACGGGUUGUAAACUUCUUUUAUAAAGGAAUAAAGUGAGGCACGUGUGCCUUUUUGUAUGUACUUUAUGAAUAAGGAUCGGCUAACUCCGUGCCAGCAGCCGCGGUAAUACGGAGGAUCCGAGCGUUAUCCGGAUUUAUUGGGUUUAAAGGGAGCGUAGAUGGGUUGUUAAGUCAGUUGUGAAAGUUUGCGGCUCAACCGUAAAAUUGCAAUUGAUACUGGCAGCCUUGAGUACAGUUGAGGUAGGCGGAAUUCGUGGUGUAGCGGUGAAAUGCUUAGAUAUCACGAAGAACUCCGAUUGCGAAGGCAGCUUACUAAACUGCCACUGACAUUGAUGCUCGAAAGUGUGGGUAUCAAACAGGAUUAGAUACCCCGGUAUU
rnacentral:rRNA from 1 species